CUAACAGGAUUCCCCUAGUAACUGCGAGUGAAGCGGGAAAAGCUCAAAUUUAAAAUCUGGCAGUCUUUGGCUGUCCGAGUUGUAAUCUAGAGAAGUAUUAUCCGCGCUGGACCGUGUACAAGUCUCCUGGAAUGGAGCGUCAUAGAGGGUGAGAAUCCCGUCUUUGACACGGACUGCCAGGGCUUUGUGAUGUGCUCUCAAAGAGUCGAGUUGUUUGGGAAUGCAGCUCAAAAUGGGUGGUAAAUUCCAUCUAAAGCUAAAUAUUGGCGAGAGACCGAUAGCGAACAAGUACCGUGAGGGAAAGAUGAAAAGAACUUUGGAAAGAGAGUUAAACAGUACGUGAAAUUGCUGAAAGGGAAACGCUUGAAGUCAGUCACGUUGGCCAGGGAUCAACCUUGCUUUUUUGCUUGGCUUACUUUCUGGUUGAUGGGUCAGCAUCAAUUUUGACUGGUGGAAAAAAGUUCAAGGGAAUGUGGCAUCUUCGGAUGUGUUAUAGCCUUUGUUCGCAUACAUCAAUUGGGAUUGAGGAACUCAGCACGCCGCAAGGCCGGGUUUUUAACCACGUACGUGCUUAGGAUGCUGGCAUAAUGGCUUUAAUCGACCCGUCUUGAAACACGGACCAAGGAGUCUAACAUGCCUGCGAGUGUUUGGGUGAAAAACCCGAGCGCGUAAUGAAAGUGAAAGUUGAGAUCCCUAUCGUGGGGAGCAUUGACGCCCGGAUCUGACCUUUUGUGACGAUUCUGCGGUAGAGCAUGUAUGUUGGGACCCGAAAGAUGGUGAACUAUGCCUGAAUAGGGUGAAGCCAGAGGAAACUCUGGUGGAGGCUCGUAGCGAUUCUGACGUGCAAAUCGAUCGUCAAAUUUGGGUAUAGGGGCGAAAGACUAAUCGAACCAUC
rnacentral:rRNA from 1 species